UACUGCCUAAGACUUGCUUUUGAGACAACCUUCAGCAUCAUGAUCUGGCUACGGUUUGCACAUGUCCCUCUUACCAGAAGUGCCUGGGGUUCUCCAGAUGUGACCUGACCAGGGCAACAUGAGAAGGCCCACCUGAUCCUGCGGCGACUAGAGAGGGUGAGCAGCCACUGCUCCAGCCUCCUGCGAAGCGCUUAUGUCCAGAGCCGCGUGGACACCGUGCCCUACCUUUUCUGCCGCAGCGAGGAGGUCCGGCCUGCGGGUAUGGUGUGGUACGGCAUCCUCAAGGACACCAAAAUCACAUGCGAGGAGAAGAUGGUGUCCAUGGCCCGAAACACGUAUGGGGAGUCCAAGGGCCGGUGAGGGAGGGUGCUGCCCUCCGUGAGCACAGAGACUCUCCGUGGGAGGGGGAGCAGUACUCUCAUGGAUCCUGGGGCCUGGGGGGGGCUGGGGGACAGCUGAGGAUGGGCCUGGCAGAUGAGGCUUGCCAGCAAGGCCAAAGCAAACUCUUUCUCUGUGGAUAGCCGACGAGAACUUUGUAACCACUGGAAUUAUCCGUUUUUCUCUAUCUUUUAUUUUUUCUAAGAUCUUAUUUGACUCUAUCCAAGUCUCUCCUUUUUAAACUUUUUCUUAUGGAUAGCGGUCAGUCCCGAGGCAGGAGCUUUCAGGUGGAGACCAAGCUGCCUUUGCUCUUCUUCCUUCCUCCUGCCACACUCAGCUUCCUUCCUGCAACGGACGCUGGAGGAGACCUCUGGAGAGACAAUCUGACCUCUUCAGCAUCAGGAAGGAGGCCCCGAGGAUUGGUGCAGUGAGGAAGCUUGGGUCUUGACGACUUUUUUUUUUUUUUCCAGACGUUAUUGAGUUUGCAGGACCCCUGCCUCUUCCUGCUACCUGUGGGUCUGCCCAGAGUCCCUGCAGGACUUUCCAUGCAUUAAAAAUUCUUAUUGUCUCUC